GAUGAACGCUGGCGGCGUGCCUAAUACAUGCAAGUCGAGCGAACGGACGAGAAGCUUGCUUUUCUGAUGUUAGCGGCGGACGGGUGAGUAACACGUGGAUAACCUACCUAUAAGACUGGGAUAACUUCGGGAAACCGGAGCUAAUACCGGAUAAUAUUUUGAACCGCAUGGUUCAAAAGUGAAAGACGGUCUUGCUGUCACUUAUAGAUGGAUCCGCGCUGCAUUAGCUAGUUGGUAAGGUAACGGCUUACCAAGGCAACGAUGCAUAGCCGACCUGAGAGGGUGAUCGGCCACACUGGAACUGAGACACGGUCCAGACUCCUACGGGAGGCAGCAGUAGGGAAUCUUCCGCAAUGGGCGAAAGCCUGACGGAGCAACGCCGCGUGAGUGAUGAAGGUCUUCGGAUCGUAAAACUCUGUUAUUAGGGAAGAACAUAUGUCUAAGUAACUGUGCACAUCUUGACGGUACCUAAUCAGAAAGCCACGGCUAACUACGUG
rnacentral:rRNA from 1 species